AUGGGUUAAUUGGGUAAACCAUU
rnacentral:snRNA from 1 species